GGUAAAAAGAAAACAAGUUUCAAGAUCAUUAUGAUAAAAAUCAGCAUAGGACAAUGCAAUCACAUGUUAGCAUUAACUAUGUCAAUAAUUUUACAAGCACGGAGACCCCGCCGGAACAAAAGUUCAAGCCACAAAGUGACAAAGGACUUGAUAUCAAAAUUUUUCAGUAAUCAACACAAGAAGACAUAAAUACAACAAAGCUACAUGUGCAGCUAUGUGACAUAUAUUCCCUGCAACAAAAAAAUAUUAUCAGAUAUGUGUAAUAGUUAAUAGAUACGUGUAAAAAUAAUAGAGUGUAUUAGUGUAUGAACAUAUGUAAUCUAGAUAGCAUAAUAAGUUAGAUUAGUCAGCACUUUUGAGGCCUAUUUAAGGCUUUCAACUUGUAUCAGCAAAGGGCAUUAAAAAUCUUACUGACUUUGAAAUCCUCUCUACAAUUCUCACAAUUUUCUCCAUCAUUUUUAUCUCCCAUCUUUCAUGUUCUCUCUCCUUUCCCUUAAUCAAUAAAAAGCUUUUGCUCGGCGAUGGGAACACUCUACGGGUCCGGCUUUACGACACACACAGUCUGAACUAAUCCGACAAAAAAGUAUGGCCUAGCCAAUGUCUGAACCCGGAAUUAUCCGGUAACCCCACUUUAAGGAAUAAAACCAAGAAUAUAAGUGAAAGAAGAAUAGCAACUAUCAAACUCCGAACUUAUCACCCCCCAUGCAACCUAUGUUUCGACGUUGUCCACCCAAGGACAACGUAGAGACUUAGCCGCUCCUACUCAUACCCUUCUCAGUUAACUUGGCUCUAAUAUCAAUGGAGGGGACGGAUUGAGUUUUGGGAUGAAAUCCUAAAAAAUUUGGGCAGAGUAACCAAAGGGAACAAGAAAAAUCAAAUUCUUAAAACAAAACUUUAAAAAAACUUAAAAGGAAGAACAAGAAAACAGUAGUAAAAACUUAAACUUUAUAACAUGAAAACAAAUAAACAAAAAAAUAGUAGACAAAGUAUACUUACAAAAUACUUUUAGUGAUUUAGGGAGUGGAGAGAGAACAUGGAAGAUGGAAAAUAUGGGGGAAAUGUAGGAAGAAUGUAGAGAGGAUUUCAAAGUCGGUAAGAUUUUGAAUACCCCCUACUGAUACAAGUUGAAAGCCUUAAAUAGGCCUUAAAAGUGCUGACUAAUUUAACUUAUUAUGCUAUCUAUUGUACAUGUGUGCAUACACUAAGACAUAUUAUUCUUUUUACAUGUAAGUACUAACUAUUAUGAAUAGUUUAUGACAAUUGUACGUGGCUUGGAAUAUAUGCCACAUAGCCGGAACUACUUACAUGUAGCCUUCACUGCGUGUUUUAUCUUCUUUUGCUGAAAAUAUAUCUCCAAAACAUAGAUCUUGUUAUUUGGUCCUCUAGUCACCUUGUGGCUUUGGACUUUUAUUCUUGCGAGGUCCACCUGUUUGCUUAUUUGUUGACAUAACAAAAGUUAACAUAUGCUUGGCACAUUUUUGCAUUUAUUGAAGAUGAUACAUAUCCUCAUUACUUUUGUCACUGGUGUUAAGGAUGCAGUGUCUAAUAAUUUCAAUAUCUUUUCAUGAUUGGUAGUUUUGCAGAGAUUUGCUAAGGCUUCUUCCAGUCUUGUUUUAAAUUUUUCUUUUGAAAAAUCAAAUUUCCUUCGUGAUGAAGAGCCGACAAUUAACAUGUCAUCGUGAUAUUUCGGUUUUCAUCCUUUAAUUUUGAUACUCUUGCUCAGAUACUUGAUCCUUUCAAUUCAUGAAUAUCAAAGGACCAACUAAUAAUAUAAGAUAUCCUUUUUGAAAUAAAGAACUUACACCAUUUAAUAUUUUCUGGGAGUGUAGAGAUAUUUUGCUCUAGCUGGAACUUUUCAAACUGUAUUAAAAAUUGUGGUGAUAAUACUGUUUAUUUCCUCCAAAUUGGUUUCACAAUUCGAAAAACCAUCGAGGGAUCGUUGCAUUUUUUAUAUCUUCUUAAUAUUUAAUGAAUCAAGUAUAGAUAUUUGGCCAAAGAUACAUAAAAUUAUAUCAAGUUUAUAAUCGUACCAAUUAUACAUCUGGGGACGAUAAGAUGUUGAUAGUGAAAUAGGAGUGUGUAGAUGAUCCACAAACCACUCAAAAGGAGUUAAUAUUCUUUUAAUUGUGAAUUUUGGAAAUUGAAUACUAUCUGGAUCAUUGUUAUCUACUAAUUUAUUCUCAAUCUUCACUGAAUUAGUAUCUGUUAAUAUAAACUCAUAAUACCUUCGGAUUUUUAUUGGAUCCUUAGUUUACACAUAAUUCCGAUUAGUGUAACACGGUUUCAUAAGGUAGGGCACUCCAAAGCAUUCAUAUUCUUUGACAAGCGCCAUGAUUGAAAGUACCUGCAAAACUGUAAUUGAAAAACUCUUUUUAUCUGACUGAGUAACGUUUUUCUUAUUUGUUGUCAGUGUAGUUGGAACAAGCCUCUUAGUAUGUUUCUGGUGGUUUCAUUUUACAAAUAUCAUUUGUUUGGACAAAAAAAUCUGUUGAUGAGGGUUUAUUUAAUGAUGAGGAGUUGAGUUUUGGCAGGUUUUGAAAUUCUGCCAAGGUUGAGUAGCGGUUCUCUAAUUUUUUAUCGCCCUCCUUGAAGGUUUUUUUUUAUUUUAUCUUCUGAUUUGAAGAGCUGUAGUGGGAGCCUCGCGGUCUUAUUCUCGGUACUCCUGGUCUCAUUAUUUCCCCGUAAAAAUUUUCUUGUCAAAAAGUCGGGGAGAAAAUCAUUUUCUCCUUUUAUAAAUUCUAUUUCAAAAUCAAAGCUAAUUAAUAAAGAUUGUCAUUUUGCAA